rnacentral:rRNA from 1 species
GAACGCUGGCGGCGUGCCUAAUACAUGCAAGUCGAGCGAAUGGAUUAAGAGCUUGCUCUUAUGAAGUUAGCGGCGGACGGGUGAGUAACACGUGGGUAACCUGCCCAUAAGACUGGGAUAACUCCGGGAAACCGGGGCUAAUACCGGAUAACAUUUUGAACCGCAUGGUUCGAAAUUGAAAGGCGGCUUCGGCUGUCACUUAUGGAUGGACCCGCGUCGCAUUAGCUAGUUGGUGAGGUAACGGCUCACCAAGGCAACGAUGCGUAGCCGACCUGAGAGGGUGAUCGGCCACACUGGGACUGAAACACGGCCCAGACUCCUACGGGAGGCAGCAGUAGGGAAUCUUCCGCAAUGGACAAAAGUCUGACGGAGCAACGCCGCGUGAGUGAUGAAGGCUUUCGGGUCGUAAAACUCUGUUGUUAGGGAAAAACAAGUGCUAGUUGAAUAAGCUGGCACCUUGACGGUACCUAACCAAAAAGCCACGGCUAACUACGUGCCAGCAGCCGCGGUAAUACGUAGGUGGCAAGCGUUAUCCGGAAUUAUUGGGCGUAAAGCGCGCGCAGGUGGUUUCUUAAGUCUGAUGUGAAACCCCACGGCUCAACCGUGGAGGGUCAUUGGAAACUGGGAGACUUGAGUGCAAAAGAGGAAAGUGGAAUUCCAUGUGUAGCGGUGAAAUGCGUAGAGAUAUGGAGGAACACCAGUGGCGAAGGCGACUUUCUGGUCUGUAACUGACACUGAGGCGCGAAAGCGUGGGGAGCAAACAGGAUUAGAUACCCUGGUAGUCCACGCCGUAAACGAUGAGUGCUAAGUGUUAGAGGGUUUCCUUCCCUUUAGUGCUGAAGUAACGCAUUAACACUCCGCCUGGGGAGUGCAGCCGCGAGGCUAAUACUAAAAGGAAUAGACCGGGCCCCGCCCACCCGGUGGAGCAUGUAGUUUAAUUCAAACCACCCCGAAGAACCUUACCAGGUCUUGACAUCCUUUGAAAACCCUAGAGAUAGGGCUUCUCCUUCGGGAGCAGAGUGACAGGUGGUGCAUGGUUGUCGUCAGCUCGUGUCGUGAGAUGUUGGGUUAAGUCCCGCAACGAGCGCAACCCUUGAUCUUAGUUGCCAUCAUUAAGUUGGGCACUCUAAGGUGACUGCCGGUGACAAACCGGAGGAAGGUGGGGAUGACGUCAAAUCAUCAUGCCCCUUAUGACCUGGGCUACACACGUGCUACAAUGGACGGUACAAAGAGCUGCAAGACCGCGAGGUGGAGCUAAUCUCAUAAAACCGUUCUCAGUUCGGAUUGUAGGCUGCAACUCGCCUACAUGAAGCUGGAAUCGCUAGUAAUCGCGGAUCAGCAUGCCGCGGUGAAUACGUUCCCGGGCCUUGUACACACCGCCCGUCACACCACGAGAGUUUGUAACACCCGAAGUCGGUGGGGUAACCUUUUUGGAGCCAGCCGCCUAAGGUGGGACAGAUGAUUGGGGUUA